CCCCCCCCCCCCCCCCCACCAUGUCUAAGCCCACUCGUUCACUGACAUUAUUUUAAAGGCUUCUUUACACAUCUUAAGAUAAAGCCAGGAACCUUGCUAAGUAUCCGUCACUCAUCCAUAGACAUGGGACCUGUAAGUUUGAUCAUUUCAACUUUGCAUGACAGCCUGUUAAUGGAAUGUAUUGUUUUUACAAUAACAAUAUACAUUGUUACUGUCAAUCAAAACUGAGCAUUUGUCACAGUCCCUGCAGUGUCUUGUGUGUUUGUGUCGUCUGUCUGGGUGUGGUCAUGUGUGGGCGGAGUUUGGGUUCCUGGCUUCCCAGUCUGGCAUACCUGGCGCUGAUCAGCCCACUCACCUGCCUGCCAUCAGCUAAUCACCUCCACUCCACAAAAGCUCUGGCCUCCUCACACGACGCUGCCAGAUCGUUUCACAGCUCUCCAAGUGUGCCAACCUCCUCUAAUCCUGCCUGCCUGCCAGACACCUCCACUCAAGCCGCCGACGCCUUUCCCUCCUCCCUUAUCUGCCUGAAUUAAACCCUUUGGACUUUU